ACCAGAAGUGAUGGCAACCAUCCCAGCAAACUGAGGUAUAUAAAUAACAAGCGGGAAAGAACACUAAAGCUUCCCUGGAGACACACUGAGGAUGUUACCUACUCAAAAACCUUAGGGUGACGAAACGUUUACAAUCAAACACACAGGCUUGCCAGUCAUGGAGCUUUCCAUCCACAGCAAGACCCAAUAGGAAUGACAUUCGUGGUGGUUAUCAAGGUCCCUCAAGCUCCCUCAUCUCUUACAUUUGACACAUCUUUGUGCAUUUAGACUCAUUGAGGUAGUCAUCAGUUCCAAAAGACUGUGUUGGCUACUCACCAGAACAAUCAUCUUCCAUUCAGGAAGGCAACUUGGUUUUUGCUGCAGAAGUCAACAGUUCCACUCAAUGAUUGGCUGACCUCAGGCCUAAACAGGAUUCUUUCACACUGCUGCCAAUGGAACUGCCAAAGCCCAACAAUGAAUGAAGGCCUUCACCACCACAAGGAUAAAGAGAACCAUAAUUCAGGAUAGGAGAAAGUAAACCUGAUAUGAUCAGUAGUAUGGACAUGAUAUUGGCUCUGUGGUCUCACGUUAAAGGUAAAUCCUUUUACAUUUAAGUAGCUUAGCAAUUAAAAUCCUGGAUUCACAUUUCUUUGAAGGCUGCUCUGAUGAUUUAUUCAUAAAUGCAGUUAUUUUUGCCAGUUCUGUGCAGAUCUGAUGGGAGAGAUCAUCCGUGAAAAGAUUGGCACUUGACAACUUUGUACACUAAGGAAAAUAUUAUUUUCCACAGCGUGGUAUCAUUAAAAUCAAAAGUAGAAUUCUGGCUGUUAACUCCCUCUUCUUUCUGAUGAAAUAUGAUGCACCAAGACUAACAACUAUAAUAAGAAAAGAAAUGUGGUAAAAUAUCAGCAUAAUCCCAUUUCUUUUCGGUUGUUAAACUCCACACAUGCUUCCCCACUGUACAUUAACAAGUCAUAGUCUUCCACUACUAUCUAGCAUGACCACCCCCCUGCCCCCC